rnacentral:lncRNA from 1 species
UUGCACACUUGCACACAUGAAGGUGCACAAACAUGCAUGCAGACACAUGCACACACGUGCACACCCACAAACGUGCACCCACCCAGCUGCAUGCAAACAAAUGCACGCACUUUUGUGCAGACACACGGAGACACACGCACACCACGUGCACAUACAUGCAGAUGCAUGUACACGCACACUUGCAGACGCAUGCAUGCACACACUUACACACAGCUGCAUGCGCAUGCAUGCACACACAUGCACACAGACCACGUGCAUGCAUGCACACCCUUGCACACUCACACGCACACACAUGUGCACACCCCCAGCCACACACCCCCUGCACGCAAGCACACGCCUGCACACGAGCCCAGCGUGCUCACGCGUGCACACACGUGUCCGGGCGUGCACGCACACGCACACGCGUGCCCGUGGGGCCUGGCGCAGCCCCAGCCCGGCGCCGCCGGUGACUCACCCGCUCCCCGCCGCAUCGAUCCCCAUCAAUCUCCCCCCGGGACCCCCCGCUCCGCGCCCGCCGCUCGCUGGCCCCGCAUCGGCUGCGCGGGGCACACGGGGGGGGGGGGGGGGGGGGGGGGGCGGUCGCCCCGGCAACGGUCGCCAUGGAGCCCGCAGCAUCCCCGCAGCAUCACCCCCCCCCCACGCUGGACCACGGCCCCCGCUUGUAUAAGGGGGGUGCUUCGGGGUGAGGGGGUUGCACGGUCAACGGGGGGGUUGCAUGGGUGUAUGGGGGCUUGGGUUUGUGGGGGGGGGGGGGGGGGGGGAGGGGGGGGGGAGGAAUGGGGCAAGGGGGGGAGAAGGAGGGAAAAGGGGAAGGAAAAGAGAAGGAAAAGGAAGGAAAGGGAAGAAAAAGGGAGAAAAGGGAAGGAAAAGGGAGAAAAGGGAAGAAAAAAGGAAGGAAAGGGAAGAAAAAGGGAGAAAAGGGAAGAAAAAGGGAGAAAAGGGAAGAAAAGGGAAGAAAAGGGAAAGAAAGGGGAAAGAAAAAGGGAGGAAAGGGGAAAGGGGAAGGAAAGGGGAAGGAAAGGGAAAGAAAACGGGAAAGAAAAGGGAAGGAAAAGAAAAGGAAAAGGGAAGGAAAACUGAAAGGAAAUGGAAAGAAAAUGGAAGAAAAGGGAAGGAAAAUGGAAAGAAAAAGGAAGGAAAAGAGGAAGAAAAAGGGAAGAAAAAAAGGAAGAAAAAAGGAAGAAAAAGGGCAAGGAAAGGGAAAGAAAGGAGAAAGAAAGGAGAAAGAAAGGGGAAAGAAAAGGGAAAAAAAAUAAAAAAAAGGAAAAGAGGGGCA